UACAGAGGUCUCAAGCGUUGUUCGGAUUCAUUGGGCGUAAAGGGUGCGUAGGUGGCGGGGCAAGUCUGGUGUGAAAUCCCGGGGCUCAACCCUGGAACUGCACUGGAUACUGCUUUGCUAGAGUACUGGAGAGGGAACUGGAAUUUACGGUGUAGCAGUGAAAUGCGUAGAUAUCGUAAGGAAGACCAGUGGCGAAGGCGAGUUCCUGGACAGUUACUGACACUGAGGCACGAAGGCCAGGGGAGCAAACGGGG
rnacentral:rRNA from 1 species